rnacentral:lncRNA from 1 species
AUGCGGUCUUCCAUAGCGUCAGCGGCUACGGCGGGGCAGCUUUCCAGUGGCUAUUCUGAAAUGCCAAAGAGACACAAUGUUAGAUCACCUGGGAAAAGCCGCUGCAAUCUCUGAAUGACCAAGUCGUCCAUUCAUAUCCAUCCCGCCUAUUAUAAGAGAGAGGUUUGUGCCAGUGUUUGGACAAAAGGCGAUUGCUGCUCUCCAGCAGAGGGCAGUGCAAAAGUGCAGAGCCAGCGCAGAGCCUUGGGGCAGAGCGUCCGUGGGGGAGGAAGGUCUCCGCAGUGAAGUUUGAAGCCGUUCUSCAAAUUCGUGAAUCUGAUUUAUGUUCUUCGCCCCUCUCGGAGUUUGAAUCAGUUCAUGUGGAAGCCAGCUUUACAGACUACUUCCAGAGCAGCAAAACUACUGAUACGCGCUUUCUGACUGGGGAGACUUUCACCCGUGCUAUCAGUGAGCAGCUCUGGCAGCUGGCAGAAACACCACCGAGCGUUUUACCGGGGAAAGUGAUCGUUUUUGUGUAAGUAAAAGCAGGCAAAGACGAUACCAUCAAAUAACCACCAAAAAAGGUAAGUAGAAAUACAUUCCCUGUAUUUAUUUUAGGGUAACUCAGCAGAUUGCCACCCGGUACCCGUCACCCCACGUCGCAGGAGCCUG